GGGAAGUGGCAGUAGCUCAGUGGCAGAGCACCUGCCUGGCAUACAGAAGGUCCCAGGUUCAAUCCCCAGUGUCCCCA